rnacentral:rRNA from 1 species
CCUACGGGGGGCUGCAGUGGGGAAUAUUGCACAAUGGGCGCAAGCCUGAUGCAGCGACGCCGCGUGGGGGAUGACGGCCUUCGGGUUGUAAACUCCUUUCGCCAGGGACGAAGCGCAAGUGACGGUACCUGGAGAAGAAGCACCGGCCAACUACGUGCCAGCAGCCGCGGUAAUACGUAGGGUGCGAGCGUUGUCCGGAAUUACUGGGCGUAAAGAGCUCGUAGGCGGUUUGUCGCGUCGUCUGUGAAAUCCUGCAACUCAAUUGUAGGCGUGCAGGCGAUACGGGCAGACUUGAGUACUACAGGGGAGACUGGAAUUCCUGGUGUAGCGGUGAAAUGCGCAGAUAUCAGGAGGAACACCGGUGGCGAAGGCGGGUCUCUGGGUAGUAACUGACGCUGAGGAGCGAAAGCGUGGGGAGCGAACAGGAUUAGAUACCCGAGUAGUC